GGCCCAAAUUUGAAAUAGAGUGUAUUAGGAAGAUCAUCUGACUCUACUAAACUACACUACUUCGAGUUUGUGCCC
rnacentral:pre_miRNA from 1 species